CUACGGAGGGUGCAAGCGUUACUCGGAAUCACUGGGCGUAAAGCGCGCGCAGGCGGCUAUUUAAGUCGGAUGUGAAAGCCUACGGCUCAACCGUAGAACUGCAUCCAAAACUAUUUAGCUAGAGUGUGGGAGAGGAAGAUGGAAUUAGUUGUGUAGGGGUAAAAUCCGUAGAGAUAACUAGGAAUACCAAAAGCGAAGGCAAUCUUCUGGAACACUACUGACGCUGAGGCGCGAAAGCGUGGGGAGCAAACAGGAUUAGAAACCCGAGUAGUCC
rnacentral:rRNA from 1 species